AUAGCUCAUAGAAUGAGCAAAUCAUCAGUGCAUCAUUUCUGGAAUUUGGGCAGAAAAUGACUGAAUAUGAAAGACUGCAUCGAGAGGUAGAAGGAAAGCUGGUGCUGAAAACAUUUGUCUUCACUCACAUGGUCCAGACUAAAGAGAAGCGGGUCUGAGGCCAGAGAUGGAGGAGUCUUUGUUGAUGGUGUAUUCAGUGGCCACCAAGUGCAGCACUGCAGCCUGAAACUGUGAAGACUGCAUUCCCAAACAGCUCUGUGACAUCACAGAUGUUACGGCCCAUGAAAGAAACUUCACAACUGAGAGCUAGUUCUGGAGGGAUUUUUUUUUAGCCCAUACAUCCAACAACCUUCAACAGGAAUCAAUGGGGCCCGUUUCAAUAAGGAGGUUCAACCAACUCUGAGUUGAAACUCAAACUCUUAGUUGACUUACCCUGAGAUGGGAAACUCUGAGUUUUCGGUUUUAGAACAGCUAAAUUGUUAGUUCAGUCGACUCUGAGUAGGUUGACUCUGAGUUUAGAGCGUGCACCAUGACUAUGAGAAGUCAUGAUCAGUGGAGCUCCGAAAUUAUGAUUCACCAUGGCAACAGCACCGACAAAAAGACGUCUGCAUACUUCUGAGUCAAUCAAUAACUUUAAUUAUUAAUCACUGUUAUAAUAUCAGAGGUAAAAACUGUAAAUUAUUUAACUAAAUUUCAUUUCCAUGGUAUCCCACGGCAAAAAAAACAAAAUAAGAACGUAGCAGCAUCUAAAAAUGAAUUAUAAAAACACAAUUCAAUGUAAAGCUGUAAGUAUAAGUUUCAUGGGUGUACGCUACAUGAGUGUACAUACAUUUGACAUAUUAAAUAUCAUUCAGUGUCUAUUUCAAUGCGCAGCAGGUUUUUCCACAUUGUUUAAUGCGUCGUUUUCACAUAGGCU